GAUGAACGCUAGCGGCAGGCCUAACACAUGCAAGUCGAGGGAUAAGCCUUCGGGCUAAGACCGGCGCACGGGUGCGUAACGCGUAUACAAUCUGCCUUUUAUCCGGGGGAUAGCCCGAAGAAAUUUGGAUUAAUACCCUAUGGUAUAAGAGCACGGCAUCGUGCACUUAUUAAAGCUACGGCGGUAAAAGAUGAGUAUGCGUUCUAUUAGCUAGUUGGAGAGGUAACGGCUCCCCAAGGCGACGAUAGAUAGGGGUUCUGAGAGGGAUGUCCCCCACACUGGUACUGAGAUACGGACCAGACUCCUACGGGAGGCAGCAGUGAGGAAUAUUGGACAAUGGUCGGAAGACUGAUCCAGCCAUGCCGCGUGCAGGAUGACGGCCUUAUGGGUUGUAAACUGCUUCUGUAAGGGAAGAAUAAGGAGUACGUGUACUUUGAUGACGGUACCUUACGAAUAAGCAUCGGCUAACUCCGUG
rnacentral:rRNA from 1 species